CCUACGGGAGGCUGCAGUGGGGAAUCUUGCGCAAUGGGCGAAAGCCUGACGCAGCGACGCCGCGUGAGUGAUGAAGGCCUUCGGGUUGUAAAGCUCUGUGGGGAGAGAAGAAUAAGCCAUGGCUAACAUCCAUGGUGAUGACGGUAUCUCCUUAGCAAGCACCGGCUAACUCUGUGCCAGCAGCCGCGGUAAGACAGAGGGUGCAAACGUUGUUCGGAAUUACUGGGCGUAAAGCGUGUGUAGGCGGUGUGAAAUCCCGGAGCGCAACUUCGGAAGUGCACUUGAUACUGCUUCGCGUGAGUACUGGAGAGGUUGGUGGAAUUCUCGGUGGAGAGGUGAAAUUCGUAGAUAUCGAGAGGAACAUCGGUGGCGAAGGCGGCCAACUGGACAGAUACUGACGCUGAGACACGAAAGCGCGGGGAGCAAACAGGAUUAGAUACCCGGGUAGUC
rnacentral:rRNA from 1 species